AUCUUGGACAAUGGGCGAAAGCCUGAUCCAGCCAUGCCGCGUGAGUGAUGAAGGCCUUCGGGUUGUAAAGCUCUUUCAGAUGUGAAGAUAAUGACGGUAGCAUCAGAAGAAGCUCCGGCUAACUCCGUGCCAGCAGCCGCGGUAAUACGGAGGGAGCGAGCGUUGUUCGGAAUUACUGGGCGUAAAGCGUAUGUAGGCGGCUUUGUAAGUCAGGUGUGAAAUCCCAGAGCUUAACUUUGGAACUGCAUUUGAGACUGCAAGGCUUGAGUAUCGGAGAGGUUGACAGAAUUCCUAGUGUAGAGGUGAAAUUCGCAGAUAUUAGGAGGAAUACCGAUGGCGCAAGCAGUCAACUGGACGAUUACUGACGCUGAGAUACGAAAGCGUGGGGAGCAACAGG
rnacentral:rRNA from 1 species